GGCAUGGCCAGGAAGCCAGGCCAGGAAGAGGAGACUGUAGUUCCUGAGGCUACAAGAGGGGCUACAGACUGACAACAGAGACAGGGUGAUGGUGCGCAGACCAUGGAUAGGGGCUUUCGCCUAGAGCUAAUCCCCAGAAUGACUUGGAGGAGGCACCACCCUGGUGGCUGGUGUCCUACAGUAAGAAAGGAUUUCCUGUCCCUAAAGGGAAUACUUGUCCUCAACUAUCAUUGUUUUAUUAGUAAAUACACAGCAUAGUGAUCAGGGCAACUCGCAUUCAGCAAAAUCAAAUAGCAGCAUGAAAGGUGGUGAGCACCAGCAAGAGGAAGACUGCACAAAUGAAAAUGGGAACAAAUCCAAAGAUUUUAAAAGGAACCAAGGAGCACUAAGUAAAAGUUGAAAAGGAAGCCAGAGCUAGUGUUUCAGUGCAGAGGGCUGUCUAGUGCUGCCUGUGACGGGCCUGGCUCUACAAGGGAUGAGGUGAAGGCAGAUUAAGCAGAGUCCAUCUCUGUCACAACACGCAAGCAUUUCUGUACAGUCCCAGCCAGCUUUCCACCCAUGGGAGGGGCAACAAUAUUUAUGGGCCUUGGGUUUUUUGUUGGUUGCAAAGUUGUUUGGCCACAAGAUACAGUUUGGUAGGAAGCUUUGAAAUAAAGAUGGAAGGAGUUAAUCUCUAAAAUUAAA